rnacentral:rRNA from 1 species
AACGAACGUUAGCGGCGCGCCUAACACAUGCAAGUCGCACGAGAAAGGGCUUCGGCCCCGGUAAAGUGGCGCACGGGUGAGUAACACGUGGGUAAUCUGCCCUUGAGCGGGGGAUAACAUUCCGAAAGGAGUGCUAAUACCGCAUAAGACCACGGCUUCGAAAGGAGCAGCGGUCAAAGCUGGCCUCUGUACACAAGAUAGCACUCGAGGAGGAGCCCGCGGCGCAUCAGCUGGUUGGUGAGGUAAUGGCUCACCAAGGCUAAGACGCGUAGCUGGUCUGAGAGGAUGAUCAGCCACACUGGAACUGAGACACGGUCCAGACUCCUACGGGAGGCAGCAGUGGGGAAUCUUGCGCAGUGGGCGAAAGCCUGACGCAGCGACGCCGCGUGAGUGAUGAAGGCCUUCGGGUUGUAAAGCUCUGUGGGGAGAGACGAAUAAGUGCAGCCUAAUACGUUGCAUGAUGACGGUAUCUCCUUAGCAAGCACCGGCUAACUCUGUGCCAGCAGCCGCCGUAAUAC